CCACGGAGGGCGCAAGCGUUGCUCGGAAUCACUGGGCGUAAAGCGGGUGUAGGCGGUCUAGCAAGUCAGAUGUGAAAGCCCACGGCUCAACCGUGGAAGUGCAUCUGAAACUGCUAGACUUGAGUGCCGGAGAGGGAAGUGGAAUUCCUGAUGUAGGGGUGAAAUCCGUAGAUAUCAGGAGGAACACCGGUGGCGAAGGCGACUUCCUGGACGGCCACUGACGCUGAGACCCGAAAGCGUGGGGAGCAAACAGGAUUAGAAACCCUAGUAGUCC
rnacentral:rRNA from 1 species